rnacentral:rRNA from 1 species
UACGGAGGGUGCAAGCGUUGUCCGGAUUUAUUGGGUUUAAAGGGUGCGUAGGCGGUUCUUUAAGUCUGGGGUGAAAGCCCGUUGCUCAACAACGGAACUGCCCUGGAAACUGGAGGACUUGAGUACAGACGAGGGUGGCGGAAUGGAUGCUGUAGCGGUGAAAUGCAUAGAUAGCAUCCAGAACCCCGAUUGCGAAGCAGCUGCCUAGACUGUAACUGACGUGAGGCACGAAAGCGUGGGGAGCGAACAGG